rnacentral:rRNA from 1 species
CAGUCGCCGCGGGAAUACGAAGGGUGCAAGCGUUACUCGGAAUUGCUGGGCGUAAAGCGUGCGUAGGUGGUGGUUUAAGUCCGUUGUGAAAGCCCUGGGCUCAACCUGGGAAUUGCAGUGGAUACUGGGUCACUAGAGUGUGGUAGAGGAUAGUGGAAUUUCCGGUGUAGCAGUGAAAUGCGUAGAGAUCGGAAGGAACAUCUGUGGCGAAGGCGACUAUCUGGGCCAACACUGACACUGAGGCACGAAAGCGUGGGGAGCAAACAGGAUUAGAUACCCCAGUAGUCCCUGUCUCUUAUAC